AGAGUUUGAUCCUAGCUCAGGAUGAACGCUAGCGGCGUGCCUGAGAUAUGCAAGUCGAACGUCUUUCUGUCGCAAGACAGAAGGUAGUGGCGGACGGCUGAGUAACACGUAGGAAUCUGCCCCUAAGUAGAGGAUAGCUCACCGAAAGGUGGGGUAAUACUUUAUGGUCUCAAGCUUUGCUUGAGUAAAGAGCAUAACUGCUCGCUAAGGGAUGAACCUGCGGCCUAUCAGAUAGUUGGUGAGGUAAUGGCUCACCAAGUCUACGACGGGUAGCUGGCCUGAGAGGGUGGUCAGCCAGAAGGGCACUGAGACACGGGCCCUACUCCUACGGGAGGCAGCAAUCAGGAAUAGUCGGCAAUGGGCGAAAGCCUGACCGCGCGACGCCGUGUGCGGGAUGAAGCUCUAAUCGAGUGUAAACCGCUGUGGUAGAGGAAGAAGUUCCGGCUUGCCGGAAUUGACGGUACUCUACUAGAAAGGGGCCGCUAACUGCGUGCCAGAAGCGUCGGUAAGACGUGGGCCCCAAGCGUUAUCCGGUGUCACUGGGCGUAAAAGGUCGUGUAGGCGGUUUUGCAAGUUGUCUUUUAAAACUUCCCGCUCAACGGGAAAGCAGGAGAUAAGACUGCAAAACUAGAAUUUCCUUUAGGGAGACUGGAACUGAAAGAGGAGCAGUGAAAUGCGUUGAUACUUUCAGGAACACCGGUGGCGAAGGCGAGUCUCUGGAAGGAGAUUGACGCUGAGACACGAAAGCUAGGGGAGCGAAGCAGAUUAGAGACCUGCGUAGUCCUAGCCCUAAACAAUGCUUGCUAGCUGCAUUUUUCGAUUUAUCGAAGGGUGUGGCGUAGGUAACCCGUUAAGCAAGCCGCCUGGGGAGUACGGCCGCAAGGCUGAAACUCAAAGGAAUUGGCGGGGAGGCACACAACCAGUGGAACAUGUGGUUCAAUUCGAAACGAACCGAAGAACCUCACCAAGGUUUGACAUCCAAGCGUUCUAUUUCCUGGAAACAGGAGAAAUCCGCAAGGAGGCUUGGACAGGAGCUGCAUGGCUGUCGUCAGCUCGUUCCGUGAGGAGUACCCUUAAGUGGGACAACGAGCGCAACCCCC
rnacentral:rRNA from 1 species